rnacentral:tRNA from 1 species
GCCGAAAUAGCUCAGAUGGGAGAGCGUCAGGCUGAAGAUCUGAAUGUCCGUUGUUCAAUCCCGGGUUUCGGCA